GGUGGUGGUGGCAGUUUAAGUGUUCACUGGGAUAUUGGAGGCGGUUGCAUGGCUCCUUUUGUGUCGGGCGGGGGGAGGUGGCUUUUAGAGGAUUAGAUCUCUUCUUCUUCUAGAAUUUAGAUCUAAUCUCUCAUUUCAAAUCCUAACUCUCUCAAAACCUUCAUCAUCUUCCUCAAACCUCAACCCCUUUCUUAUUUUUCUCUUUUAUUGGUCAUUUAUAGUUUGCUUAAUAUAUUGCAGUGUUGUCCCUUUGUGAAAUAGGAGAUCAAGGUUGAAGGUAUCCUCAAUCUUCAACGUGAGGAGCUAUUCUACAAGACUAGGUAACAGUAAAUACAGAUCGGAGGCUAUUCAGGCUAGGUGGAUUUGCUCAAGUAUAUAAAGCUUACAUUGACAGCAAUCCUGAUGAUGUGGUUGCACUAAAGCCUGCAUUUCCUUGGGAAUUCUACAUGUAUCGCCAACUUGAUAAGGGCAACUCUGAUGUUGAGCUGAAUGAGAUGUUAGUCUAUGGGUUAAAAGGUUCCACCUGCCUGAAGCUGAACUGCUUAAUGGUUGUGCUGCGAUGAUUGGGUUUUUUAUGGCUUCCUUCGUGGAUAGCUUGACAAGCAUGGGUCUUGUUGAUCAGAUGGGUAAUUUCUUUUGCAAAACUCUAUUACUUAUAGCUGUUGCUAGGGUGCUGCUUAUAAGAAAGAAUGAAAACAUUGAUACUCUGAAGAAGCUUCUUGAGGAAACAACCUUCUAUGACAAGUAGUGGCAAGCAACUUGGCUGGAGGAUGAAACCCCUAGUGUUUCCAAUAAAGAGUAGUUUGAUGUUCAUCUAGGAGUCACUCUAUUUCAUUUGAAGGCUUUCUAUUGUAUAUUCUUCUCAUUUUUUUUCUUAGUACCAUUGUAAAAGAUGAGCAUGGUGCCUUCUAACUGUUGUAGCAUAAAAUGUGUGAUCAUAUUUUGCUUAGUAUUAGUUUGAUUUGUUGUCGUUAA